GAUGAACGCUGGCGGCGUGCCUAAUACAUGCAAGUCGAGCGAACAGAUGAGGAGCUUGCUCCUCUGACGUUAGCGGCGGACGGGUGAGUAACACGUGGAUAACCUACCUAUAAGACUGGGAUAACUUCGGGAAACCGGAGCUAAUACCGGAUAAUAUAUUGAACCGCAUGGUUCAAUAGUGAAAGACGGUUUUGCUGUCACUUAUAGAUGGAUCCGCGCCGCAUUAGCUAGUUGGUAAGGUAACGGCUUACCAAGACAACGAUGCGUAGCCGACCUGAGAGGGUGAUCGGCCACACUGGAACUGAGACACGGUCCAGACUCCUACGGGAAGCAGCAGUAGGGAAUCUUCCGCAAUGGGCGAAAGCCUGACGGAGCAACGCCGCGUGAGUGAUGAAGGUCUUCGGAUCGUAAAACUCUGUUAUUAGGGAAGAACAAAUGUGUAAGUAACUAUGCACGUCUUGACGGUACCUAAUCAGAAAGCCACGGCUAACUACGU
rnacentral:rRNA from 1 species